AGAGUUUGAUCCUGGCUCAGAACGAACGCUGGCGGCGUGGAUAAGACAUGCAAGUCGAACGCUGGUUUGCGGGUAGCAAUAUUUGCAAACUGGAGUGGCGCAAGGGUGUGUAACACGUGGGUCAUCUGCCGUGAAGUCCGGGAUAACUUGCUGAAAGGCGAGCUAAUACCGGAUGUGAACGCAAGUUCAAAGUUGGGGACCGUAAGGCCUGACGCUUCACGAUGAGCCCGCGGCCUAUCAGCUAGUUGGUGAGGUAACGGCUCACCAAGGCAAAGACGGGUAGCUGGUCUGAGAGGACGACCAGCCACACUGGAACUGAGACACGGUCCAGACACCUACGGGUGGCAGCAGUCGAGAAUUUUUCUCAAUGGGCGAAAGCCUGAAGGAGCGACGCCGCGUGGGGGAUGAAUGGCUUCGGCCCGUAAACCCCUGUCAUUUGCGAACAAAUUGAUUCACCUAACACGUGAAGCAUUGAUUGUAGCGGAAGAGGAAGGGACGGCUAACUCUGUGCCAGCAGCCGCGGUAAUACAGAGGUCCCAAGCGUUGUUCGGAUUCACUGGGCGUAAAGGGUGCGUAGGCGGCCAGGUAAGUUUGAUGUGAAAUCCCGCAGCUCAACUGCGGAACUGCAUUGAAUACUAUUUGGCUCGAGGAAUGGAGGGGAGACUGGAAUUCUCGGUGUAGCAGUGAAAUGCGUAGAUAUCGAGAGGAACACCAGUGGCGAAGGCGAGUCUCUGGACAUUUCCUGACGCUCAGGCACGAAAGCCAGGGGAGCAAACGGGAUUAGAUACCCCCGUAGUCC
rnacentral:rRNA from 1 species